rnacentral:rRNA from 1 species
UACGGGGGGGGUAAGCGUUGUUCGGAAUUACUGGGCGUAAAGGGCUCGUAGGCGGCCAACUAAGUCGGACGUGAAAUCCCUCAGCUUAACUGGGGAACUGCGUCCGAUACUGGAUGGCUUGGAUUUGGGAGAGGGAUGCGGAAUUCCAGGUGUAGCGGUGAAAUGCGUAGAUAUCUGGAGGAACACCGGUGGCGAAGGCGGCAUCCUGGACCAAUAUUGACGCUGAGGAGCGAAAGUGUGGGGAGCGAACAGG